AAGCCACCUCCUCGGGCCUGCGUCGCAUCCAACUUACUCCAAGUUUUCUGGUGACUCCUACAGGGCCCCUUUCCGUCCCCCCCCCCGCUCCCCGCCCCCCAAGCCUUAGUGAGAUUGACAGUCGCGUGGAGGAGGCUUUUCCAGGCACAGCCUUUCUCAUGGCUCAACUCCGAAUGGAUUGGAUUGCGAGUCUGCACGUGAGAAAACCGUUUGGCUUGGCUUGGACCCCUGCCGCCCCCCACCUCCUCCACACACACCCAGUCCAGGGGUCCCCUUUAUCACCCUUUGCUUGCAACUCCAAAAGAAGUUGCCCACCUCCUGAGUCACAACACAAGGUCGAAUAAUUCCUCUAGAUGAAAGAUCAGUUUCAUUUCAAAACGAGAAUAGGUUCCUUUUUUUAUUUUCUCCACAUGGUACAAAAUAAAC
rnacentral:lncRNA from 1 species